UGUAUAUCCAAUGUCUUUAAUGAAUGUAAAAACGGCGAAACAAAAACGUAACGUUUAAUUUGCAGAUGGAUGCCUCCAUAUCUUUGCGCGGUACUGUCUGUUAUCUUGACAUUUCUUAUCGCUCGCGAAUGAGUUACCUUACAGUUCCUAUGAAUAGAAAAAAAAUGCACUCUAGACAACAAGAAUAUAGACAAAAUUUACAUUAUUAUCAAAAUGUUUAACUUUUCCUACUUAAAGAAAUAUCAAUCUAUUUUUUAAAAGUAUCAGUAAAUCAGUAUCAAAAAGUAAUUGCUGAUCUUACUAACAAUGUGGUGUAUAAAAACUAUCAUCUUAGACAAUCUAGAAAGAAAAUAGGUGUAAUUAUCUGUUAUUCAUUUUUUCAUUUAAUGUUUAUACAAGCUGCUAUUUUAAUUCAUAGUGACGUGUUUUGUAUACUGAGUAAAUAAUAACAUUUGUAAAGAUAGAACUUCAGAGUGCCGUAAAAUCUAAUCUAGAUAUAUACGCAUAAAUACAUAACACCUGCAAUAAGUACUUUUGCAUGAGAAAUGCUACCAUUUUUAUUUAAAAAAUGUCUAGUUUUUGGUAUCUUGUGACAGAUUUGAUAGCAAAACACAUUUGCCAUAUAUCAUCUAGGCAAUCUGCAACUAUGUGUAUUCUUUUUUGUUACAUUUCCCUUCCUACAUUACUCUAUCGUUGAAAUAUUCUUCUGUCGGUGGACAGGAGGAUUUGCUACCUUAAUGCGGUCAGCGCGGUAUUCGUUUAAUUAUGUGUGUAAUAAAAUCUGGAACGAAUUUAGCGGGCUUUAUCGCUAUCUCACCGUCAUGGAAGAAUUGAUGUUCAGAAGUACAAUUUGUACAUUUGUAAGAAUGUGGCAGAGUGUUAUUGUUUUAUCAUCAAAAGGAUUGCACUUAAACUGAGCAAAAAGUUAUGCGAUCAUCAGAUGCAAAUUUAAGAUAUGUGAAACAAACAACACAAAACAACAGACGUGAUAGACGAAAUCAACAAGAUAUCACACAGUACCUGGAUUUAAGAAUUUGAACGAUAAUUGUAUUGAUUGUCUGACAACUUUCAUUUCAUUAUGUUUUGCUUAUUUAUUUAUUUUUGUUGUUUUAUUUUUAUCAAUUAACAAAUAUAUAUUGAACAAUAGAUUCCACAAGUAUGGUACCAUGUACGAAUUAAAAAUAAAAAAUAAGAGAGGA